rnacentral:rRNA from 1 species
CCUACGGGGGGCAGCAGUGGGGAAUAUUGCACAAUGGGCGCAAGCCUGAUGCAGCCAUGCCGCGUGUGUGAAGAAGGCCUUCGGGUUGUAAAGCACUUUCAGCGGGGAGGAAGGCGUUAAGGUUAAUAACCUUGGCGAUUGACGUUACCCGCAGAAGAAGCACCGGCUAACUCCGUGCCAGCAGCCGCGGUAAUACGGAGGGUGCAAGCGUUAAUCGGAAUUACUGGGCGUAAAGCGCACGCAGGCGGUCUGUCAAGUCGGAUGUGAAAUCCCCGGGCUCAACCUGGGAACUGCAUUCGAAACUGGCAGGCUAGAGUCUUGUAGAGGGGGGUAGAAUUCCAGGUGUAGCGGUGAAAUGCGUAGAGAUCUGGAGGAAUACCGGUGGCGAAGGCGGCCCCCUGGACAAAGACUGACGCGCAGGUGCGAAAGCGUGGGGAGCAAACAGGAUUAGAUACCCGGUAGUC